CAUUACCGAGUUUACAACUCCCAAACCCCUGUGAACAUACCUUAAUGUUGCCUCGGCGGAUCAGCCCGCGCCCCGUAAAACGGGACGGCCCGCCAGAGGACCCAAACUCUAAUGUUUCUUAUUGUAACUUCUGAGUAAAACAAACAAAUAAAUCAAAACUUUCAACAACGGAUCUCUUGGUUCUGGCAUCGAUGAAGAACGCAGCAAAAUGCGAUAAGUAAUGUGAAUUGCAGAAUUCAGUGAAUCAUCGAAUCUUUGAACGCACAUUGCGCCCGCUGGUAUUCCGGCGGGCAUGCCUGUUCGAGCGUCAUUUCAACCCUCAAGCCCCCGGGUUUGGUGUUGGGGAUCGGCUCUGCCUUCUGGCGGUGCCGCCCCCGAAAUACAUUGGCGGUCUCGCUGCAGCCUCCAUUGCGUAGUAGCUAACACCUCGCAACUGGAACGCGGCGCGGCCAUGCCGUAAAACCCCAACUUCUGAAUGUUGACCUCGGAUCAGGUAGGAAUACCCGCUGAACUUAAGCAUAUCAAUAAGCGGAGGAAAAGAAACCAACAGGGAUUGCCCUAGUAACGGCGAGUGAAGCGGCAACAGCUCAAAUUUGAAAUCUGGCUUUCGGGCCCGAGUUGUAAUUUGUAGAGGAUACUUUUGAUGCGGUGCCUUCCGAGUUCCCUGGAACGGGACGCCAUAGAGGGUGAGAGCCCCGUCUGG
rnacentral:rRNA from 1 species